rnacentral:rRNA from 1 species
AUGAACGCUGGCGGCGUGCCUAAUACAUGCAAGUCGAGCGAACGGACGAGAAGCUUGCUUCUCUGAUGUUAGCGGCGGACGGGUGAGUAACACGUGGAUAACCUACCUAUAAGACUGGGAUAACUUCGGGAAACCGGAGCUAAUACCGGAUGAUAUUUUGAACCGCAUGGUUCAAAAGUGAAAGACGGUCUUGCUGUCACUUAUAGAUGGAUCCGCGCUGCAUUAGCUAGUUGGUAAGGUAACGGCUUACCAAGGCAACGAUGCAUAGCCGACCUGAGAGGGUGAUCGACCACACUGGAACUGAGACACGGUCCAGACUCCUACGGGAGGCAGCAGUAGGGAAUCUUCCGCAAUGGGCGAAAGCCUGACGGAGCAACGCCGCGUGAGUGAUGAAGGUCUUCGGAUCGUAAAACUCUGUUAUUAGGGAAGAACAUAUGUGUAAGUAACUGUGCACAUCUUGACGGUACCUAAUCAGAAAGCCACGGCUAACUACGUG